GGAUAUAAAUAUUCCAGGGAGUAAACGUAAGUGUACUUGGGUGCACGAGUUCCUGCCGCAGUACGCUCAUCGACUAGCUUGUAGCAUCCGUGCUUCAGAUCCUAACAGUGAUGGCGAACGUUUCCGGCCUCUUCAUGCUGGUCGCUUCUGGGAUUGCUGCUCAGCUCCUGGCUUACCCGGCGGGUGCCAUUGGAUUGCCGUUGAUGAUGCUGUGUAUCCUACGGGGCCGUGCGGACGUUCCGACAACUGAAGACGCUUGAGGCGAGCACGUGAAGGAACAGACGAGCAUUCUGGGAGCAGACGCGAUGUCUAGGUGGAGGCUUAGUAGAACGAGAACCAUAUAAAGUGCACACCAUGAUGUGAGACUUCGGCCUUCGCUAUGGAUGAUAAAAUAUGGAAGAUAAAAAAAACACUUUAGGAAUAAAUUUGUUU